rnacentral:lncRNA from 1 species
GCGACCUGGGGCGCGCUGGGCCUCGCAGAGCAGCCGCGGACCCCGGCGAUCGUGCCGUGUUCGUCUCCUUUGUGUUUCUUUAUUGAGUCCCUACUACCUCUACGGAUAUUCUGGGGGCAAUUAAAGAAAAUCGCCGCUUCCUAGACAGCACAUAUUUCCCAUAGAAAUGUGGAAUGUAAGAAAGGCACAUAAAGCAAUCCAAGUUGCCUACAGAUAUCCACAGCCUACUUCAGUCCCAGUAAUGCUCUUUUAACCUGGUGCAUCCGUUUAAGGGAAGACAUGAGAUCAUGGGUUUAAGUGAGGCUUCAUCAUGCCAAGACAACGUGAUCAGUUAUUCCCAACCUAUAUAACUCACAUACACUGGAGGAAAUAUCUUCAUGGAAUUAAAACCACAUGGAGUAACAUUUCACGUAAGCAGAAUUCAGGAAGGAUUUCAGUAAUUCCAUCCCAAACACACACAGGCAAAGGGAGUGAAGAUUUCUUCAGCAACAUGGUGGCAGAAAGAUCAUGAAAAGAUCUAGGCCAGUCCAAGCUCACUGCAGUUAAAUCUUCAGUCUCCAGCACUGCACUUGGGAAAGCGUCAAGGAGUUGAAUGUAUAUGUAAUUGGAGUGCCAGAAGAAGAGAACCGAGAGAGAGGGGCAGAACAGCUCAUGAGGGGAAAACCCACUACAUACAAACAAGAAUACUGCAGACUCCUCAUCGGAAUCUAUGCUACCUGUAAAGGCUUGUAAAAGCACAGAGCUGCUCUCACCACGCAGCCAAAGAAGAAAUGAGGAUAUCGGUCCUAUAACUGCAAGGAACUGAAUGCUGCCAACCACCUGAAUGGACUUGGGCUACUGAGAAGAAGCUAUUCUAGCAAAGCUGGAGGAAUUCCACCAGACUGACAGAACAACACAAAUAAGUCCAUGCCUGACGCACAGCAGGGGCUCAAGGCAAGUUUGUGGACUCGAAGCCCUGUUAGAAUGGGUGGAAUUUGGUCUUAUGAAGCAGAUAGAAGAACAGGAGCUUGACUGUAAAGAUUUGUCUCCACCUCUUAAUAAAGCAUAUCAUCUCCAA